GAAACGAGGGAGAACAUAUGAUGAAUUUAAAUUAAAAUCUCCUUUCAAAAGGAAUUGAAGAGGCACGAUGGUUAUCUUUAUGAAAUGGGGGAGUGUUUAUCUGCAUUUUCCAAAUUUGUAAAUAGAGGUGAAGGAAUGAUGGAGACAGAUAAUCCUCAGUGUGGGUCCUCUGCCCAUCAAUAACCCACAGACACCUGGAAGCUCAUAAAGUGACACGGAGGCGUUAUGACAAAUUGGGGAGACGGCAGCAUUAUCUCCGCUUACCUGGUCUCACAGGUCAAAUCUUUAGUGACUCAAAGCAGCUUCCCUGAGCCCUUGCACUGUUUGAAAGGCGACUUCCGGAUGUCUCCAGUGUGUCAGUGAGGGCAGACUCCCCUAAUCAGGCAGAGUGCUGAAAAGCGAGCAGCUGAAAGAGCCACGGACAGGAAGGACCAGGGGGAUGAGCAGGCGAAGCAGAAAGAGAAAUGAAACAGAAACUCAUCUUUUCUUUGCAUUUAUUUUUAUCUUAAUUUUUACUAUUGCUGUCACAUAUGCGUGUUUUGUAUCAUUUUCAUUUUUAUACAGAGAACUUUUCAAACUAUAUUCCAUUUUAUUGUGGCCUUUAAUAUUCUGUACUUUAUAAAAAUGUCAUGGUAGUUGGUUGAAUAAGAAUUACAAAAUCAGAGAAAUUAUUUAAAGGUUUGUGGGUUUGCAGCUAAGUACAAAUGUCAAAUUAAUUACUUAAUUUUUUAACUGAAGAAUAGCUACCAAUUUAGCAGGAAGACAUGAAUAUAAAUGUUACAGUGAUAGAAACCUUAACCGUUUCAUAAAUCAAUCAGACAGCAUACAAUAUGUCCGUUCCUAUAUGUAUACAUCAGCAUUCAAGUCUAUUUUGAGUUGGUUGUUUUUAUAUCAGACUGUUAAGUCAUUAUUUAUUUAUGAUGACUAAUAGAAUUUUAAAGGACAGGUUUUGGUUGAUUAUAAAUUAUAAAAUAUACAUCCAUGUACCAAUUAAAUGUUUGCCCAUUAAGAAGGGUUGUGAUGAUUCAAGUUGAUGUCAUAAUAUGACUGAUACUGACAUCAUGUGACUCCAUGAUUCCAGCCCAGCAAGACAAAAAUAAAAAAGGAUCAAAAGUAUGUUUGCAAAUUUAAAUACAUAAGAGAUUUCUAUACCAAUGUAAACACUGUCACCAAGGAAACACCUCUGUAGCCUAUAGUACUGGUUAAUUUUCAUAUCAUCAAAAGCAGCUGUUCUUCAGGGUAAACAGACUCUGUUUCCCUGGACUAUGGACUGAUGACCUUCAGAUGAUCCUUUCUCUAAUAAAUAUUAACAUAAACAUUUCUAGUCAACAACAUGUAAAGUAUGCAAAUUCAAAAUGGUACUGUUUAAAUUAAAUAUUGUAUGCCUUCACUUGUGCUUAUGUUAUAAAAAACAUAAAUGGUGUAUAUAAAUAUACAACAACAUGAAUAUUUUGGGAAGUACUGUGGCCUUACACCGCUGGGCAGGUUUCCUGCAAGUGCAAAU